UGGGCUGUUAUAAUUAUAAUAAUAUAAUGAAUUGCGUUUGUUGCGAAACGUUUAAUGUGAAUAACGAAUCACAAACGAAAACGAAAAAAAUGAAUUGUUUGAUUCGCCGAAUAUUCACCUAUUCAUUGUCACAAUAAACAAUAAAUCCUACGUCUAUCGUAAAAUAAUUCGUAUAACCUUUUCACACUCAAUCAUAAAUUGAAAAAAAGGGAAAAUAUAAGAAAUGUAGGUAUUAGUUAAAAUAUACUUCGGCCUUAUUUUUUCUGUGCACAACUUUUCUACCAGCAAUUUUGCAAUAUUCUAUGGUAUCGUUUAUUUUAGACCUAUUAGGUUUUAUCAGAAUUCAGAUUAGUAUAGAACAAUUAGAAGAAAAGAAGAAUACCCGAUAAAUUCGUCCGUUCAACGGGUUCUAAGAUCUAAAUAAUCUUGCUCUAGAUCAACGAGAAGGUAGUUUAAUUUAAUAAACUUUAACUUUUGAAAAACCUUUAACUUAACCAAAAACGUGUAUAAAACAAUACGAGCCGUAGCCCAAUUACAUAGAUAUUAAUUACAAAUACAUAUUGCAUGCUUAUAAUAAUACACAUAUUAAUAAUAACUAUACUAAAACAAGUGAAUGGUUCCUUAUUUUACAUACGUAAUACGUAUCAUUAUAAUUAUUGGUUGGUUCUCUAAAUAAGUGGUAUUGAA